rnacentral:rRNA from 1 species
GUGCUUAACACAUGCAAGUCGAACGGAAAGGCCCUGCUUGCGGGGUACUCGAGUGGCGAACGGGUGAGUAACACGUGGGUGAUCUGCCCUGCACUUCGGGAUAAGCUUGGGAAACUGGGUCUAAUACCGGAUAGGACCGCACUUUAGUGUGUGUGGUGGAAAGUUUUUUCGGUGUAGGAUGAGCUCGCGGCCUAUCAGCUUGUUGGUGGGGUAAUGGCCUACCAAGGCGGCGACGGGUAGCCGGCCUGAGAGGGUGUACGGCCACAUUGGGACUGAGAUACGGCCCAGACUCCUACGGGAGGCAGCAGUGGGGAAUAUUGCACAAUGGGCGCAAGCCUGAUGCAGCGACGCCGCGUGGGGGAUGAAGGCCUUCGGGUUGUAAACUCCUUUCGCUAGGGACGAAGCUUUUGUGACGGUACCUAGAUAAGAAGCACCGGCUAACUACGUGCCAGCAGCCGCGGUAAUACGUAGGGUGCGAGCGUUGUCCGGAAUUACUGGGCGUAAAGGGCUCGUAGGUGGUUUGUCGCGUCGUCUGUGAAAUUCUGGGGCUUAACUCCGGGCGUGCAGGCGAUACGGGCAUAACUUGAGUGCUGUAGGGGUAACUGGAAUUCCUGGUGUAGCGGUGAAAUGCGCAGAUAUCAGGAGGAACACCGAUGGCGAAAGGCAGGUUACUGGGCAGUUACUGACGCUGAGGAGCGAAAGCAUGGGUAGCGAACAGGAUUAGAUACCCUG